rnacentral:misc_RNA from 1 species
GGAUGUAAAAGUCGUAACAAGGUCUCCGUAGGUGAACCUGCGGAGGGAUCAUUACAGAGUUCAUGCCCUACCGGGUAGAUCUCCCACCCUAUGUUAUUAUUACUUUGUUGCUUUGGCGGGCCGUUAGGCUCCGGCCCGACUACCGGCCCCGGCUGGUAAGUGCCCGCCAGAGGACCCAAAACCCUGAAUAUUAGUGUCGUCUGAGUACUAUAUAAUAGUUAAAACUUUCAACAACGGAUCUCUUGGUUCUG